rnacentral:rRNA from 1 species
UACGUAGGGUGCGAGCGUUAAUCGGAAUUACUGGGCGUAAAGCGUGCGCAGGCGGUUCGUUGUGUCGGCGGUGAAAGCCCCGGGCUUAACCUGGGAAUGGCCGUUGAAACUGGCGGACUGGAGUGUGGCAGAGGGGGGUGGAAUUCCGCGUGUAGCAGUGAAAUGCGUAGAGAUGCGGAGGAACACCGAUGGCGAAGGCAGCCCCCUGGGCUAACACUGACGAUCAGGCACGAAAGCGUGGGGAGCAAACAGG